rnacentral:rRNA from 1 species
UACAGGGGGGGCAAGCGUUGUUCGGAAUUACUGGGCGUAAAGGGGUAGUAGGCGGCCAACUAAGUCCGACGUGAAAUCCCAAGGCUUAACCUUGGAACUGCGUCGGAUACUGGAUGGCUAGAGUCCGGAAGAGGAGAGUGGAAUUCCUGGUGUAGCGGUGAAAUGCGCAGAUAUCAGGAAGAACACCCGUGGCGAAGGCGGCUCUCUGGUACGUGACUGACGCUGAGACGCGAAAGCGUGGGGAGCGAACAGG